GUGCUCGCUUUGGCAGCACAUAUACUAAAAUUGGAACGAUACAGAGAAGAUUAGCAUGGUCCCUGCACAAGGAUGACACGCAAGUUCGUGAAGCAUUCCAUUUUUUU
rnacentral:snRNA from 1 species